GAUGAACGCUGGCGGCGUGCCUAAUACAUGCAAGUCGAGCGAACAGACGAGGAGCUUGCUCCUCUGACGUUAGCGGCGGACGGGUGAGUAACACGUGGAUAACCUACCUAUAAGACUGGGAUAACUUCGGGAAACCGGAGCUAAUACCGGAUAAUAUAUUGAACCGCAUGGUUCAAUAGUGAAAGACGGUUUUGCUGUCACUUAUAGAUGGAUCCGCGCCGCAUUAGCUAGUUGGUAAGGUAACGGCUUACCAAGGCAACGAUGCGUAGCCGACCUGAGAGGGUGAUCGGCCACACUGGAACUGAGACACGGUCCAGACUCCUACGGGAGGCAGCAGUAGGGAAUCUUCCGCAAUGGGCGAAAGCCUGACGGAGCAACGCCGCGUGAGUGAUGAAGGUCCUCGGAUCGUAAAACUCUGUUAUUAGGGAAGAACAAAUGUGUAAGUGACUAUGCACGUCUUGACGGUACCUAAUCAGAAAGCCACGGCUAACUACGUG
rnacentral:rRNA from 1 species